ACGCUCGACACCUACGGGGGGCAGCAGUGGGGAAUAUUGCACAAUGGGGGAAACCCUGAUGCAGCGACGCCGCGUGAGCGAAGAAGUAUCUCGGUAUGUAAAGCUCUAUCAGCAGGGAAGAAGAUGACGGUACCUGACUAAGAAGCACCGGCUAAAUACGUGCCAACAGCCGCGGUAAUCUGAGCGGGCUGGCAAGGC
rnacentral:rRNA from 1 species